GACCGCGGGGCUGGAAACAGCCAUGAGGAAAGUCCGAGCAUCACAGAGCAGGAUAGCUGAUAACGUCAGCCGAGGGCGACCUUAGGGCUAGUGCAACAGAGAUAUACCGCAGCUUCAUGCUGUAAGGGUGGAAAGGCGAGGUAAGAGCUCACCGGAUCGCAGGUGACUGCGAUGCCAUGUAAACCCUAUCCGAUGCAACACCGAUUGGUGCGGAGGUCAACGCGUCUGCUCGGCGCGCUUCGUUGAAAGGUGGCUUGAGCGCAGCGGCGACGCUGCGCCUAGAUAGAUGGUCAUACGCGACAGAACUCGGCUUACCGAUGGA
rnacentral:RNase_P_RNA from 1 species